rnacentral:rRNA from 3 species
GCGACCCCAGGUCAGGCGGACUACCGCUGAGUUUAA